rnacentral:rRNA from 1 species
CUCGUAGGCGGCUCGUCGCGUCCGGUGCGAAAGUCCAUCGCUUAACGGUGGAUCUGCGCCGGGUACGGGCGGGCUGGAGUGCGGUAGGGGAGACUGGAAUUCCCGGUGUAACGGUGGAAUGUGUAGAUAUCGGGAAGAACACCGAUGGCGAAGGCAGGUCUCUGGGCCGUCACUGACGCUGAGGAGCGAAAGCGUGGGGAGCGAACA